UAACUGUGCAAAGGUAGCAUAAUCAAUAGUUUUUUAAUUGAAGGCUUGUAUGAAGGGUUGGACAAAGAAUAAUCUGUUUUUAUUUUUUUUUUUGAAUUUAACUUUUAAGUGAAAAGGCUUAAGUAAAUUUGAGGGACGAUAAGACCCUAUAAAUCUUUAUAUUAAUUUAUUUUUUAGCAGUUAAUUAAAGUAAAUAGCGUAAAAAAAAUAAAGAAUAUUUUGUUGGGGUGACAAAAAUAUAAAUGUUAACUGUUUUAAAAUUUAAACAGAGUUGUUUGGAGAUGUAAUAGAUCCUUUGUAGAUUAAAAAUUUAAGUUACUUUAGGGAUAACAGCGUUAUUUUUUUUGAGAGUUCAUAUCGAAAAAAAAGUUUGCGACCUCGAUGUUGAAUUAAAAGUUCUUUGUGGGGCAGGUGCCACGAAAAAAAGUCUGUUCGACUUUUAAAUUUUUACG
rnacentral:rRNA from 1 species